AGAGCUGCAUUAACUCAACUUCUUCUUUAUUAUACGAGGCUUUCAGAUUGUAUAAAGAGGAUAAAUGGUGGGUCUAACUUGAACAAAGAUCUUGUUUCAAUUUCAUCGAUAAUGUAUGAGAUCAGAAAAUACUCUUAGGACUUUCUAGGACAUUUUUCUAUUUUCGUGUUCGUUUUACAGUCUCUUUUGGUUUUUUUUUUGUCCUUGUUCUUUUUAGAGUCUCCUGAAUCUCUGUAUUUGCGUGUAAAGAGUUUCAGUUGACCAUUACAUUGUUAUUCAACUGACAUUUUGUAAGAUCUCAUGUGUUUCAAUGACAUCUUCUAAAUAUAUGUAACUAGGACCUCCUUUCAAUGUUGGACAAGACACAUUAUUUUGUUUCAUACUAAGGACUUUCUAGGACAUUUUUCUAUUUUCAUGUUCGUCUUACUGUCUCUUUUACUUUUUUUUUUCUUGUUCUUUUUAAAGCUCUUAAAUCUCUGUAUCUGCGUGUAAAGAGUUUCAGUUGAUCACUACAUUGUUAUUCAACUGACAUUUUGUAAGAUCUUAUGUGUUUCAGUGACAAUAUUCUAAAUAUAUGUAAUCCUUGCGAUAUUCUUGAUUUUGUGUUUCGUGAAUUUUUUUAUUUUGUGCCUCACAUAACUGAUACUAGUUGUGUGGGGUUUUGUUUUAUCUCACAACAAAAUUAUCUCACACAACUAGUGUUAGUUGUGUGAUAUUCCUGUUUCCCAUUCUCUGUUCUGUUCGUUAAAGCCGAUAGUCUAUUAAAAACAACCUCUCUAUGAGGUCGGGAUAAGGUAUGUUUAUAUAUUAUUCUUCACAGAUCUUAUUUAUGGGAUCAAAUUGGAUUUUUUGUUGUUAUUGUU
rnacentral:lncRNA from 1 species